rnacentral:rRNA from 1 species
UACAGAGGGUGCGAGCGUUAAUCGGAAUUACUGGGCGUAAAGCGCGCGUAGGCGGCUUUGCAAGUCGGGUGUGAAAUCCCCAGGCUUAACCUGGGAACUGCAUUCGAGACUGCAUUGCUAGAGUAUGGGAGAGGGAAGUGGAAUUUCCGGUGUAGCGGUGAAAUGCGUAGAUAUCGGGAGGAACACCAGUGGCGAAGGCGACUUCCUGGCCUGUUCUUGACGCUGAGGCGCGAAAGCUAGGGGAGCAAACGGG